rnacentral:rRNA from 1 species
CUGAGACACGGUCCAGACUCCUACGGGAGGCAGCAGUGGGGAAUAUUGCACAAUGGGCGCAAGCCUGAUGCAGCCAUGCCGCGUGUGUGAAGAAGGCCUUCGGGUUGUAAAGCACUUUCAGCGGGGAGGAAGGCGUUAAGGUUAAUAACCUUGGCGAUUGACGUUACCCGCAGAAGAAGCACCGGCUAACUCCGUGCCAGCAGCCGCGGUAAUACGGAGGGUGCAAGCGUUAAACGGAAUUACUGGGCGUAAAGCGCACGCAGGCGGUCUGUCAAGUCGGAUGUGAAAUCCCCGGGCUCAACCUGGGAACUGCAUUCGAAACUGGCAGGCUAGAGUCUUGUAGAGGGGGGUAGAAUUCCAGGUGUAGCGGUGAAAUGCGUAGAGAUCUGGAGGAAUACCGGUGGCGAAGGCGGCCCCCUGGACAAAGACUGACGCUCAGGUGCGAAAGCGUGGGGAGCAAAC